AGGCGCGCUGCUGGGAAUGGAAGUAAGAGAAUUCUGAACCCAGUACUCCAGUCCUCAGGGUUCUAAAGAAGCUCCACGUCGUAGCUCCGGAGUCCGGUCUGCGGCCCCGGGAGGAGGUGAAGCUCGGAGGUACUCUGCGCCCCACCGGGACCCCGACUCACCACAGAGACAUGGCGGCCCGGUCCAGGGCAGCUGAGCGGGGCGCACGGAUCACAGCUCUGAGCGCCGCGGCUGGGGACAGCGGGACGAGGCCGAGCCGCACCCCCGCUGAGACUUUCUUUUUUUCCCUGCGGCUGGAGGAGGGGCCUCAGGGGCGGUGGCCCAGGUAGGUUAACCCUUUGUGCCCCGGCUCACUGUGGGGACAGCAACUCCGUUCAGCCCUGGCCACCUCAGAGGCACGCCCCACGGGAACGCGAAGGGAAGAGCCAGAAUCUCAGAGACCUUGAAGAUCGCCAACAUCCUGAGGCGGCGACUUCCCCGCUGCUGGGCCUUCACGGGGUCGCCCGCCUCGCCUCCUUCGGGACACGUGGGGACGUCGGACACCGCCCACCUCCACGCCCACCCGGCGCCUAGCGGCCUGGUUGCUUCCUUCUGGAGUAGCCCUGGGUGUGUAGAGUGGAGGGAGGUGGAUAAAGGCUGUUUCCCUAAAGUUA